rnacentral:rRNA from 1 species
AUUGAACGCUGGCGGCAGGCCUAACACAUGCAAGUCGAACGAGUGGCGGACGGGUGAUUCCUGUCUGUCUACCUGCCCGAUGGAGGUGGAUAACUACUGGAAACGGUAGUUAAUACCGCAUACCAUCGGGCGUGCCCAGAUGGGAUUAGCUAGUAGGGGGGGUAACGGCUCACCUAGGUGACGAUCCCUAGCUGGUCUGAGAGGAUGACCAGCCACACUGGAACUGAGACACGGUCCAGACUCCUACGGGAGGCAGCAGUGGGGAAUAUUGCACAAUGGGCGCAAGCCUGAUGCAGCCAUGCCGCGUGUAUGAAGAAGGCCUUCGGGUUGUAAAGUACUUUCAGCGAGGAGGCGUUACUCGCAGAAGAAGCACCGGCUAACUCCGUGCCAGCAGCCGCGGUAAUAC